GAAAUUCUUUCUUCCUUUGUGGUUCAGAUAAGCAGCCGUCCUCUAAUGAUGACCCUUGGCAUGCUGUGGCACCUGGGACCUCCCCUAGCACAAGGGAGGCUGAUGAAAAUUAGCCCAUUCACAUUUCAAACAGAAUUCGGCCUGGCCCCUGAUCACAGUGCCGGGGCCCCCCUCACGGUCCUGCAGAGAGAACACGCACCACCAAAAAAGAUCUCCACCCGGCCAGAGCCUCUCCCCUGGCGAUCAUUGCGGGAACACAUGGUGACAUGACUGUGGGACGCGAGGGGUCUGGAUGUACUCCGGCUGUUAUUCCCUGUUAAAAGAUUUAAACCAUUGGGGUAUGAUAGGUCCCUUUGAUGUUUGCUAAGCAUAGAGCUAGGGAACAAGGAAGAAGGAGAAAGGGGGAGAGAGGUGGGGUGAGGUACAGUGGUGAUGGUAGCGGUGAUGCGGGGCAGAGGCUUGUUACUAGAAGGCAAUCAUCUUUGUGGAGCCACACCAGAGGAGGGAGGAGACGCGCAGAAUCUGUUUCAACGCUGCUACGCCGACAAAGGGAAGAUAAAAGACAGAGGUUGAAGCCGAGGCCAAGACCCACUGUGAAGCCAAGAUUACUGCCAGCACAAAGUUUUGGCACUUCUACCACUACAGCAACUUUUACGUUCCUAAUUGCCCCAAUUUGGCCCUUGUAUAGAAGUGGGAAAUCGUAGCAGACAUCACAGUCAUAGCGAUAUUUUUUUAAACUACAGGAAGAGUUCUCAUUGGCUCUUCAGAUCAGUAUCAAUUUCAGGUAUGUACGUUUAUGGUAAACCGUUACAACUUGUUGUUCUUGAUUGUGUUGGAGAAAAACAAGUUCAGUGGGACUAAUUAUUCAACA
ensembl:lncRNA